GUGGGGAAUAUUGGACAAUGGGCGCAAGCCUGAUCCAGCCAUGCCGCGUGAGUGAUGAAGGCCCUAGGGUUGUAAAGUUCUUUCACCGGAGAAGAUAAUGACGGUAUCCGGAGAAGAAGCCCCGGCUAACUUCGUGCCAGCAGCCGCGGUAAUACGAAUGGGGCCAGCGUUGUUCGGAAUUACUGGGCGUAAAGCGCACGUAGGCGGACAUUUAAGUCAGGGGUGAAAUCCCGGGGCUCAACCCCGGAACUGCCUUUGAUACUGGGUGUCUGGAGUAUGGAAGAGGUAAGUGGAAUUCCGGGUGUAGAGGUGAAAUUCGUAGAUAUUCGGAGGAACACCAGUGGCGAAGGCGGCUUACUGGUCCAUUACUGACGCUGAGGUGCGAAAGCCAGGGGAGCAAAAGGGAUUAGAUACCCGAGUAGUCC
rnacentral:rRNA from 1 species